rnacentral:rRNA from 1 species
UACGUAGGGUGCAAGCGUUGCCCGGAUUUAUUGGGCGUAAAGGGCGCGUAGGCGGCCCGUCGCGUCCGCGGUGAAAGCUCCCGGCUCAACUGGGAGAGGUCCGCGGAAACGGUCGGGCUGGAGCAAGGUAGGGGGUCGUGGAAUUCCCGGUGUAGUGGUGGAAUGCGUAGAGAUCGGGAGGAACACCAGUGGCGAAGGCGGCGACCUGGACCUGUGCUGACGCUGAUGCGCGAAAGCGUGGGGAGCGAUCCGG